UGCAAGUCGAGCGGAAACGAUCCCAGCUUGCUGGGAGGCGUCGAGCGGCGGACGGGUGAGUAAUGCAUAGGAAUCUGCCCGGUAGUGGGGGAUAACUUGAGGAAACUCAAGCUAAUACCGCAUACGCCCUACGGGGGAAAGCAGGGGCUCUUCGGACCUUGCGCUAUCGGAUGAGCUUAUGUCGGAUUAGCUAGUUGGUGAGGUAACGGCUUACCAAGGCGACGAUCCGUAGCUGGUCUGAGAGGAUGAUCAGCCACAUCGGGACUGAGACACGGCCCGAACUCCUACGGGAGGCAGCAGUGGGGAAUAUUGGACAAUGGGCGAAAGCCUGAUCCAGCCAUGCCGCGUGUGUGAAGAAGGCCCUCGGGUUGUAAAGCACUUUCAGUGAGGAAGAAGGCUUGUCGGUUAAUACCCGGCAGGAAGGACAUCACUCACAGAAGAAGCCCCGGCUAACUCCGUGCCAGCAGCCGCGGUAAUACGGAGGGGGCAAGCGUUAAUCGGAAUUACUGGGCGUAAAGCGUGCGUAGGCGGCUUGGUAAGCCGGUUGUGAAAGCCCCGGGCUCAACCUGGGAAUGGCAUCCGGAACUGUCAGGCUAGAGUGCAGGAGAGGAAGGUAGAAUUCCCGGUGUAGCGGUGAAAUGCGUAGAGAUCGGGAGGAAUACCAGUGGCGAAGGCGGCCUUCUGGACUGACACUGACGCUGAGGUACGAAAGCGUGGGUAGCAAACAGGAUUAGAUACCCUGGUAGUCCACGCCGUAAACGAUGUCGACUAGCCGUUGGGGUCCUUGAGACCUUUGUGGCGCAGUUAACGCACUAAGUCGACCGCCUGGGGAGUACGGCCGCAAGGUUAAAACUCAAAUGAAUUGACGGGGGCCCGCACAAGCGGUGGAGCAUGUGGUUUAAUUCGAUGCAACGCGAAGAACCUUACCUACCCUUGACAUCGUGCGAACUUGGUAGAGAUACCUUGGUGCCUUCGGGAGCGCACAGACAGGUGCUGCAUGGCUGUCGUCAGCUCGUGUUGUGAAAUGUUGGGUUAAGUCCCGUAA
rnacentral:rRNA from 2 species